rnacentral:rRNA from 1 species
GGGAAUUUUCCGCAAUGGGCGAAAGCCUGACGGAGCAAUGCCACGUGGAGGUGGAAGGCCUACGGGUCGUCAACUUCUUUUCUCGGAGAAGAAACAAUGACGGUAUCUGAGGAAUAAGCAUCGGCUAACUCUGUGACAG